rnacentral:pre_miRNA from 1 species
UAGUUACUCCCUCCAUCCAGAAAUACUCGUCGGAGGAAUGGAUGUAUCUAGAUGUAUUUUACUUUUAGAUACAUUCAUUUUUAUGCAUUUCUCCGAUAAGUAUUUCCGAACAGAGGGAGUAUAAA